ACCUACGGGGGGCAGCAGUGGGGAAUAUUGCGCAAUGGGCGAAAGCCUGACGCAGCGACGCCGCGUGAGGGAUGAAGGUCUUCGGAUCGUAAACCUCUGUCAGCAGGGAAGAACGGUCACUGUGCUAAUCAGCAGUGAAUUGACGGUACCUGCUAAGGAAGCACCGGCUAACUCCGUGCCAGCAGCCGCGGUAAUACGGAGGGUGCGAGCGUUAAUCGGAAUUACUGGGCGUAAAGCGCUCGUAGGCGGUAUGUCAAGUCAGCUGUGAAAACUACGGGCUUAACUUGUAGACUGCAGUUGAAACU
rnacentral:rRNA from 1 species